AACGUAGGACGCGAGCGUUAUCCGGAGUUACUGGGCGUAAAGCGCGGGCAGGCGGUCUGACAAGUCUGAUGUGAAAGCCCCGGGCUCAACCCGGGAACUGCAUCCGAAACCAUCUCGCUAGAGUAUGAGAGAGGGAAGCGGAAUUCCUGGUGUAGAGGUGAAAUUCGUAGAUAUCAGGAGGAACAUCUGCGGCGAAGGCGGCUUCCUGGCUCAUUACUGACGUUCAGGUACGAAAGCGUGGGUAGCAAACAGG
rnacentral:rRNA from 1 species